CCAAAGGCUUUACUAAAAGCUACUAAGAUAAUCAUCCAAGCAUAUG
rfam:Lachnospiraceae bacterium TWA4 TWA4_scaffold00001, whole genome shotgun sequence.